CCUACGGGAGGCAGCAGUGGGGAAUAUUGGACAAUGGGGGCAACCCUGAUCCAGCCAUGCCGCGUGUGUGAAGAAGGCCCUCGGGUUGGAAAGCACUUGCAGUGAGGAAGAACGCCUGGUGGUUAAUACCCAUCAGGAAAGACAUCACUCACAGAAGAAGCACCGGCUAACUCCGUGCCAGCAGCCGCGGUAAUACGGAGGGUGCGAGCGUUAAUCGGAAUUACUGGGCGUAAAGCGCGCGUAGGUUGCUUGAUAAGCCGGUUGUGAAAGCCCCGGGCUCAACCUGUGAACGGCAUCCGGAACUGUCAAGCUAGAGUGCAGGAGAGGAAGGUAGAAUUCCCGGUGUAGCGGUGAAAUGCGUAGAGAUCGGGAGGAAUACCAGUGGCGAAGGCGGCCUUCUGGACUGACACUGACACUGAGGUGCGAAAGCGUGGGUAGCACACAGGAUUAGAUACCCCUGUAGUC
rnacentral:rRNA from 1 species